UGGCCCGAAGCAUUGAAGGUUGAUGCGCCCGGCUCAUAACCGGGGGAAGAGGGUUCAAGCCCCUACGGGCCGACCA
rnacentral:tRNA from 3 species